CGAAGGGGGCUAGCGUUGCUCGGAAUUACUGGGCGUAAAGGGCGCGUAGGCGGACAGUUUAGUCAGAGGUGAAAGCCCAGGGCUCAACCUUGGAAUUGCCUUUGAUACUGGCUGUCUUGAGUUCGGGAGAGGUGAGUGGAAUGCCGAGUGUAGAGGUGAAAUUCGUAGAUAUUCGGCGGAACACCAGUGGCGAAGGCGAAUCACUGGCCCGAUACUGACGCUGAGGCGCGAAAGCGUGGGGAGCAAACAGGAUUAGAUACCCUGGUAGUCCACGCUGUAAACGAUGAGUGCUAGUUGUCGGCAUGCAUGCAUGUCGGUGACGCAGCUAACGCAUUAAGCACUCCGCCUGGGGAGUACGGUCGCAAGAUUA
rnacentral:rRNA from 1 species